UUGAUACUCCCUCUAUCCGAAAAUACUUGUCCUAAAAAUGGAUAAAAUAGAUGUAUCUAUAACCAAAAUAAGUCUAAAUACAAUCAUUCCUAAGACAAAUAUUUUCGAAUGAAGGGAGUAGGUU
rfam:Triticum aestivum genome assembly, contig: Triticum_aestivum_CS42_TGACv1_scaffold_004420_1AL